rnacentral:rRNA from 2 species
AUAAAUUGAGAGUUUGAUCCUGGCUCAGGACGAACGCUGGCGGCGUGCCUAAUACAUGCAAGUCGAACGAGAAUUUCUUACACCGAGUGCUUGCACUCACCGUAAGAAAUUCGAGUGGCGGACGGGUGAGUAACACGUGGGUAACCUGCCCAAAAGAAGGGGAUAACAUUUGGAAACAAAUGCUAAUACCGUAUAACCAUGAUGACCGCAUGGUCAUUAUGUAAAAGGUGGUUUUGCUAUCGCUUUUGGAUGGACCCGCGGCGUAUUAACUAGUUGGUAGGGUAACGGCCUACCAAGGUAAUGAUACGUAGCCGAGUUGAGAGACUGAUCGGCCACAAUGGGACUGAGACACGGCCCAUACUCCUACGGGAGGCAGCAGUAGGGAAUCUUCCACAAUGGGCGCAAGCCUGAUGGAGCAACGCCGCGUGAAUGAAGAAGGUCUUCGGAUCGUAAAAUUCUGUUGUUAGAGAAGAAUAUGAGUAAUAGUAACUGAUUAUUCACUGACGGUAUAUA